rnacentral:rRNA from 1 species
UACGUAGGUGGCAAGCGUUGUCCGGAUUUACUGGGCGUAAAGAGCGCGCAGGCGGUCGUUCAAGUCGCGUGUGAAAGCCCCCGGCUCAACUGGGAGGGUCACGCGAUACUGAUCGACUCGAGGCAGGAGAGGGUAGUGGAAUUCCGGUGUAGUGGUGAAAUGCGUAGAUAUCGGGAGGAACACCAGUGGCGAAGGCGACUACCUGGCCUGUUCUUGACGCUGAGGCGCGAAAGCUAGGGGAGCAACGGG